AGUGAACGCUGGCGGUAGGCCUAACACAUGCAAGUCGAACGGCAGCACAGUAAGAGCUUGCUCUUACGGGUGGCGAGUGGCGGACGGGUGAGGAAUACAUCGGAAUCUACUUUUUCGUGGGGGAUAACGUAGGGAAACUUACGCUAAUACCGCAUACGACCUACGGGUGAAAGCAGGGGAUCUUCGGUCCUUGCGCGAUUGAAUGAGCCGAUGUCGGAUUAGCUAGUUGGCGGGGUAAAGGCCCACCAAGGCGACGAUCCGUAGCUGGUCUGAGAGGAUGAUCAGCCACACUGGAACUGAGACACGGUCCAGGCUCCUACGGGAGGCAGCAGUGGGGAAUAUUGGACAGUGGGCGCAAGCCUGAUCCAGCCAUACCGCGUGGGUGAAGAAGGCCUCGGGUUGUAAAGCCCUUUUGUUGGGAAAGAAAAGCAGCAGGUUAAUACCCCGCUGUUCUGACGGUACCCAAAGAAUAAGCACCGGCUAACUUCGUG
rnacentral:rRNA from 1 species